GAAUCACGGUUGAAACAAGAUUUAUCAUGAGAAGUCAGCAGACGCCAUAGUACCGCAUGCAGUCGACAACAUGCGGGAAGGGC
rfam:Brevibacillus panacihumi W25 genomic scaffold Scaffold1, whole genome shotgun sequence.